rnacentral:rRNA from 1 species
UACGUAGGGUGCGAGCGUUAAUCGGAAUUACUGGGCGUAAAGCGUGCGCAGGCGGUUUUGUAAGACAGGCGUGAAAUCCCCGGGCUCAACCUGGGAAUGGCGCUUGUGACUGCAAAGCUGGAGUGCGGCAGAGGGGGAUGGAAUUCCGCGUGUAGCAGUGAAAUGCGUAGAUAUGCGGAGGAACACCGAUGGCGAAGGCAAUCCCCUGGGCCUGCACUGACGCUCAUGCACGAAAGCGUGGGGAGCAAACGGG